UACGUAGGGUGCGAGCGUUAAUCGGAAUUACUGGGCGUAAAGCGUGCGCAGGCGGUUAUUUAAGUCAGGUGUGAAAUCCCCGGGCUCAACCUGGGAACUGCAUCUGUGACUGCAUCGCUGGAGUGCGGCAGAGGGGGAUGGAAUUCCGCGUGUAGCAGUGAAAUGCGUAGAUAUGCGGAGGAACACCGAUGGCGAAGGCAAUCCCCUGGGCCUGCACUGACGCUCAUGCACGAAAGCGUGGGGAGCAAACAGG
rnacentral:rRNA from 1 species